UUGCCCACACAUAUGAGUAUUGAUAAUUAGUCGUGAUAAAUAGGCUGGAGGUUCGCGAAUUUCCUCAGUUUUAGCGUGAGUUUUCAGUAUUUCAAAACGAAGCGUUAGGUUCUAUUGAACUGAUCAACAUUUUAAUUUAAAAAACAAACUAACUAUGCGUUCGUCUACUGUAUUCCUAAUUAUUGGAACGUUGUUCCUGCUUGUCCUAGUCGACUUCGCUUGGGGACAAUGUGAUGCUAACAACCAUACUCCGAGAUGGGGAUGCAACUGUCAAUGUGGUGGGGAGAAUGGAGGUCAUUGUCACUGCCCAUGGGAGAUUCAAGUUGGACAUUGCCGCAGUGGUGGAAAUCAUUGGAUUUGUUUCCCAUUCGGAAAUGAACCAAGGUGUGUUGGCUAUGGAGUUUGUCGACCAGCUAAUCCAAUGAUGUAAGGAACAUCAAAGGAAUAUGAGUUGAGACAAUCAUCUUUUAAUGGUAUUGGUAUACUAAAAUAAUUGACAAAUCUUAGCUGAACUGGAAAUAUUUCUCUUUGAAUUCAAGCAAAUGAUGAAAUGAAACUAAAAUUUAUGGAAAAAUUAGUAAUAUUUUUGAAUCAAGAAUGUUUUCUGAAGUGCCGUCAAAAUAUAAUUUUAUUUCUUUCAUGGAGCUAUUUUGAAAAUAUUAAAAUUUUAU